rnacentral:tRNA from 1 species
GCUAGGUUGGCAGAAGUUAGUGCAUUAAGUUUAGAACUUACUAAUAGGUGAUUCCUACUUAGCA